AAGGCAUAAUAACGUACCAGCAGCCGAGGUCAUUCAUAGGUGGUCAAGCUUUGUCGGAUUUUAUUGGCGGUAAUGCGACCGCCAGGCGGUUUGUAAAGUUUGAAUGUGAAGGCCCCCGGCUCCAACCGGGGAGGGUUCUUUGGAAACUGGGAGACUUGAUUGCAGAAGAUGGAGAGUGGAUUUCCAAGUGUAGCGGUGAAAUGCGUAGAUUUAUGGAGGACCACCAGUGGCGAAGGCGGCUUUCUGUUCUGUAACGGACGCUGAGGCUCGAAAGCGUGGGGAGCAACCAGGAUUAGAUACCCUGGUAGUCCACGCCGUAAACGAUGAGUGUUAAGUGUUGGAGGGUUUCCGCCCUUCAGUGCGCCAGCUAACGCAUUAAGCAUUCCGCCUGGGGAGUACGACGCCAAGGUUGAAACUCAAAGGAAUUGACGGGGGCCCGCCCAAGCGGUGGAGCAUGUGGUUUAAUUGGAAGCAACGCGAAGACCCUUACCAGGUCUUGACAUCCUUUGACCACUCUAGAGAUAGAGCUUCCCCUUCGGGGGCAAAGUGCCAGGUGGUGCAUGGUUGUCGUCAGCUCGGGUCGUGAGAUGUUGGGUUAAGUCCCGCAACGAGCGCAACCCUUAUUGUUAGUUGCCAUCAUUCAGUUGGGCAUUCUACCAAGACUGCCGGUGACAAACCGGAGGAAGGUGGGGAGGACGUCAAAUCAUCAUGCCCCUUAUGACCUGGGCUACACACGUGUUCCAAUGGGAAGUACAACGAGUUGGGAAGUCGGGAGGUUAAGUUAAUUUCUUAAAGCUUUUUUCAGUUCGGAUUGCAGGCUGCAAUUCGCCUGCAGGAAGCCGGAAUCGUUAGUAAUCGCGGAUCACCACGCCGCGGGGAAUACGUUCCCGGCCCUUGUCCACACCGCCCGUCACACCACGAGAGUUUGUAACACCGGAAGUCGGUGAGGUAACCUUUGGAGCCAGCCGCCUAAGGUGG
rnacentral:rRNA from 1 species